GAUGAACGCUGGCGGCGUGCCUAAUACAUGCAAGUCGAGCGAACAGACGAGGAGCUUGCUCCUCUGACGUUAGCGGCGGACGGGUGAGUAACACGUGGAUAACCCACCUAUAAGACUGGGAUAACUUCGGGAAACCGGAGCUAAUACCGGAUAAUAUAUUGCACCGCAUGGUUCAAUAGUGAAAGACGGCUUUGCUGUCACUUAUAGAUGGAUCCGCGCCGCAUUAGCUAGUUGGUAAGGUAACGGCGUACCAAGGCAACGAUGCGUAGCCGACCUGAGAGGGUGAUCGGCCACACUGAAACUGAGACACGGUCCAGACUCCUACGGGAGGCGGCAGUAGGGAUUCUUCCGCAAUGGGCGAAAGCCUGACGGAGCAACGCCGCGUGAGUGAGGAAGGUCUUCGGGUCGUGAAACUCUGUUUUUGGGGAGGAACAAGUGUGUAAGUAACUAUGCACGUCUUGGCGGUACCUAAUCAGAAAACCACGGCUAACUACGUG
rnacentral:rRNA from 1 species